rnacentral:lncRNA from 1 species
GAAAAUGUGGAGAAGAAUGCCCUGGUUAAAUGUCAUGCCAUGCACAGAAAGGAAUGACACCUUUGUUCAAAGCAAUUCGUAUAUUCUACUUAACUCAUUGAGCACCAGCACUCUCCUCUUCACAAAUAAAAUUGUCUGCCAUUAGACAGAAUAUAAUAAUAAAGUAGGGUGCACUGGGGCACAUUGCCACUUAUCAAAGGCUUACCAUAUACAGUACUGGUCAACCCAUGGAGUGAUAGAGCUCUCCCCAUGCAUUGACAAGUAUAUUUGUCUGGCAUUUGACAGGAAAAUUAUACAGUGCAUUAUUGUCACAUAUCAAAAGGGAUAAUUAUUAUUAAUUAGGGCCCACAGCAAUUCUUUUGUUCCCUAGCUC